rnacentral:rRNA from 1 species
UUCGCAAUGCCCGAAAGGGUGACGAAGCGACGCCGCGUGGGUGAAGAAGGCCUUCGGGUUGUAAAGCCCUGUCAGGAGUUAUGAAAUGUAAGUGCGCUAAUAUCGUGCUUAUUUGACAAAGGCUCCAAAGGAAGCCACGGCUAACUCUGUGCCAGCAGCCGCGGUAAUACAGAGGUGGCGAGCGUUGUUCGGAAUUAUUGGGCGUAAAGAGCACGUAGGUGGGUUUGUAAGUCAGAUGUGAAAGCCUUCUGUUCAACGGAAGAAUUGCAUCUGAAACUGCGAAUCUUGAGUAUAGGAGGGGAGAAUGGAACUUCUGGUGGAGCGGUGAAAUGCGUAGAUAUCAGAAGGAACGCCGGCGGCGAAAGCGAUUCUCUGGCCUAUUACUGACACUCAGUGUGCGAAAGCUAGGGGAGCAAACGGGAUUAGAUACCCCGGUAGUCCUAGCCGUAAACGAAGGGCACUAAGUAGAGGGGUUUU